rnacentral:rRNA from 1 species
GUGACUUACCUAAACGUUGCUUCGGCGGGAAUAGACGGCCCCGUGAAAACGGUUCCGCCCCCGCCAGAGGACCCUUAACUCUGUUUCUUAUAGUGUAUCUUCUGAGUAAAACAAGCAAAUAAAUUAAAACUUUCAACAACGGAUCUCUUGGCUCUGGCAUCGAUGAAGAACGCAGCGAAAUGCGAUAAGUAAUGUGAAUUGCAGAAUUCAGUGAAUCAUCGAAUCUUUGAACGCACAUUGCGCCCGCCAGUAUUCUGGCGGGCAUGCCUGUUCGAGCGUCAUUACAACCCUCAGGCCCCCGGGCCUGGCGUUGGGGAUCGGCGGAGCGCCCCUCGUGGGCGCCACGCCGUCCCCCAAAUACAGUGGCGGUCCCGCCGCAGCUUCCAUCGCGUAGUAGCUAACACCUCGCGACUGGAGAGCGGCGCGGCCACGCCGUAAAACACCCAACUCUUCUGAAGUUGACCUCGAAUCAGGUAGGAAUACCCGCUGAACUUAAGCAUAUCAAUAAGCGGAGGAA